rnacentral:piRNA from 1 species
UGGUGAUGACCAAGGUGUGCAGGUGUGCUA